GAAAUGCGAUAAGUAAUGUGAAUUGCAGAAUUCAGUGAAUCAUCGAAUCUUUGAACGCACCUUGCGCUCCUUGGUAUUCCUUGGAGCAGGCCUGUUUGAGUAUCAUGAAAUCUUCAAAGUAAAUCUUUUGUUAACUCAAUUGGUUUCUACUUUGGUAUUGGAGGUCUUUGCAGCUUCACACCUGCUCCUCUUUGUUCAUUAGCUGGAUCUCAGUGUUAUGCUUGGUUCCACUCGGCGUGAUAAGUUAUCUAUCGCUGAGGACACUGUAAAAGGUGGCCAAGGUAAAUGCAGAUGAACCGCUUCUAAUAGUCCAUUGACUUGGACAAUACUUUUAUGAUCUGAUCUCAAAUCAGGUAGGACUACCCGCUGAACUUAAGC
rnacentral:misc_RNA from 1 species